rnacentral:lncRNA from 1 species
UAAUAUGUAUUCUGGUCAAAGAAACCAACAAAAAAAACGUGAAAAGAAGGAAAAAUAAGAGCAACGGCUGAUCGAAAUUCUUCAAUUCUCUUCUCCUUUUUUCCUAUUGAUACAAAUUAUGUACAAAAUAAGGUAUAGUUGUUGUACGCAUAUGGCAAGUUUAACAAUUUUGUUGCAUCAUUCUGGCAAGUGGAACAAUGAGAGCAAUUAUAUCAAUUUUUCAAUUGGGG